rnacentral:tRNA from 1 species
GCCCGUGUGGCGGAAUGGUAGACGCAGGGGAUUCAAAAUCCCCCGCCGCGAGGCGUGCCGGUUCGAGUCCGGCCACGGGUA